CCUACGGGGGGCAGCAGUAGGGAAUAUUGCUCAAUGGGGGAAACCCUGAAGCAGCAACGCCGCGUGGAGGAAGAAGGUUUUCGGAGUGUAAACUCCUUUUGUCAGAGAAGAAAAUGACGGUAUCUAACGAAUAAGCACCGGCUAACUACGUGCCAGCAGCCGCGGUAAUACGGAGGGUGCAAGCGUUACCCGGAUUCACUGGGCGUAAAGAGCGCGGAGGCGGGAAUGCAAGUCAGAUGUGAAAUCCUAUGGCUUAACCAUAGAACUGCAUUUGAAACUGUUAUUCUAGAGUAUGGGAGGGGUAGGUGGAAUUCUUGGUGUAGGGGUAAAAUGCGUAGAGAUCAGGAGGAAUACUCAUUGCGAAGGCGACCUGCUAGAACAUAACUGACGCUGAGGCGCGAAAGCGUGGGGAGCAAACAGGAUUAGAUACCCCUGUAGUC
rnacentral:rRNA from 1 species